rnacentral:rRNA from 1 species
AUUGAACGCUGGCGGCAGGCCUAACACAUGCAAGUCGAGCGAGCGGCGGACGGGUGAGUAAUGUAUGGGGACUGCCCGAUAGAGGGGGAUAACUACUGGAAACGGUGGCUAAUACCGCAUACUAUCGGAUAACCCAUAUGGGAUUAGCUAGUAGGUGGGGUAAAGGCUCACCUAGGCGACGAUGUCUAGCUGAUCUGAGAGGAUGAUCGGCCACACUGGGACUGAGACACGGCCCAGACUCCAACGGAGGCAGCAGUGGGGAAUAUUGGACAAUGGGCGAAAGCCGGAUGAAGCAAUGCCGCGUGUAUGAAGAAGGCCUUAGGAUUGUAAAGUACUUUCAGCGGGGAGGCGUUACCCGCAGAGGAAGCAACGGCUAACUCCGUGCCAGCAGCCGCGGUAAUAC